AACAAGGCGUACCUGCGGACCUGCGGAAGGAUCAUUAACGAGUUAGGGUCGUUCUGGCCCGAACUUCCAACCCCUUGUUUAUCACACCAUGUUGCUUUGGUAGGCCCGCUCUCUUAGGGGGGCCGCCGGAGGUUAUCCUACCUCUAGCCCGUGCCUGCCAGUAGCCUUAUUAAAUUCUUUUUAACUGUGUCGUCUGAGUGGUAUUUUCAAAUCAUUUAAAACUUUUAGCAAUGGAUCUCA
rnacentral:misc_RNA from 1 species